GCUAGCAUUUCCUGAAAGAGAAAUCUCUAGUUGCCAUGGAAUAGUGAUUUCCAUAAUACGUAAUAUGAAAAUAGCAACUCUCAAAUUUGUGGAGAUUUGCAUAUUAAAAGCUUAAAUCCUUUUAACUGACUGCUGUAAAAUCUAGUUUGGAGGCGGGAGAGAAAGAAAAAAUCAAGUACUUCUCAGUUUUUACCUUCAAAGGUUCCACCCAUUUAUAAUCAGUUUCAUCCACGGGCAGGAAAAUUGGCUUCUUGGUAGGAAGUGGUCGGCGGCAUAAGAAGAUGGCUGCACCAAAAGAGGACUUUUUCACUGCUACCAAAUUCAGGCUAGCCUUCUUAAAUAAGUCCUCCCAUUCUACCUGCCAAGCCAAGAAAAAUUAGAAUUAUAGUAAAAUGUGACCCAGUCAUGUGAUUCUUGAAGAACAAUUUUUCUCAUUUGUUGCUUAAUAAACAAACGUUAGGACAC